UUAUGGAGAGUUUGAUCCUGGCUCAGGACGAACGCUGGCGGCGUGCCUAAUACAUGCAAGUCGAGCGGAUCGAUGGGAGCUUGCUCCCUGAGAUCAGCGGCGGACGGGUGAGUAACACGUGGGUAACCUGCCUGUAAGACUGGGAUAACUCCGGGAAACCGGGGCUAAUACCGGAUAACACCUACCCCCGCAUGGGGGAAGGUUGAAAGGUGGCUUCGGCUAUCACUUACAGAUGGACCCGCGGCGCAUUAGCUGGUUGGUGAGGUAACGGCUCACCAAGGCGACGAUGCGUAGCCGACCUGAGAGGGUGAUCGGCCACACUGGGACUGAGACACGGCCCAGACUCCUACGGGAGGCAGCAGUAGGGAAUCUUCCGCAAUGGACGAAAGUCUGACGGAGCAACGCCGCGUGAGUGAAGAAGGUUUUCGGAUCGUAAAACUCUGUUGUUAGGGAAGAACAAGUGCCGUUCGAAUAGGGCGGCGCCUUGACGGUACCUAACCAGAAAGCCACGGCUAACUACGUGCCAGCAGCCGCGGUAAUACGUAGGUGGCAAGCGUUGUCCGGAAUUAU
rnacentral:rRNA from 1 species